ensembl:lncRNA
CAUGCUAGCAAUAUAUGCCAAGAAAAUAUGUUUAUUUGUUCCACUAAAACUCUUUAGCUUAUUGAUCUACUCACAUGUUAAAGUUGUUAAAGGCUACACAGAUAUAAAUGUGUACAUUUCAACUUUGGGGAAGGCAAACACAAAGGUACUUUUUUUUCUGAAAAAUGAAACUGAUUUCCACUGCACAUAGCUGAAAUACUCUGCUGAGAAUUCAGACUCUCAAGAAAAUGGAAAACAGGUGGAAAGAGACCUCCUGCUUUAGGUAAGAAAUAGAGCCAAUGAGGAACCUGAAGGUGAGGAUUUCUUGGCUGCUUGAACACAAUUGUAUGGUUUCAUGUCCCAUGCCUUGUGGUCACAUGUAGGAGGGAGAACAAAGUAGAAGCACUCUUAUGAAGGGAUGGCCCUGCAGUAAACAACCCUAGGGAACACCCGAAUCACUUUUGCCAUCCACCUUCACCACUAUCACUGACUUGAGCAAGAUCAGCUCAAACAUUCACAUGAUCUUCAGCCUACUGUGUAUUUGAAAAGAGGAUUUUAAGAAUCACACAUCAAUACAUGCAUCAAUAGAACUCACAUUAAUUUUAGGAAAAAAGUUUCGAUGACAUAUUUUUCUUUUGAUUUCUUAUUAGAGAUACAAGAUGAUUUAGUGCUAAAUAUGAAAUAUUGGUUUCAGUUUAAUUUACAAAAAAUAAUAUAUUUGUAAACUUACAAAGUGGAUAUUUGUACACUUGAUAUAGUUUUAAAAGUCAUUUCAUUAUUUCCUUCAUCAAAAUAUACAGAUGAAAGUUUCUUUUUGUAAAAUUUGUAACAGUUCAAUUUUUGUAACAAAAUAUUGUACUAUUGAAGUUAUGCUAUCUUAUAUUGACUUUUACAUUAAACAUCGAAUUAAGAUGUCUGUGCUAUCUAUGAUCAGAUUAGUACUCACUAGUUUCAGACAUACUGUAGAGAAGAUAAUAUAUUUAUCUUUCCUCUAGAGCAGAGGAAAGUAUUUAAUUAACUUCAUAUAGAUUAAUGAUGUGGCAAACAGUUGUUUGUUUCUGUUUGAUGGUGAUCCCAAGAAACCAUUAGAAGUCCAACUUUAGCUAUUAGUCACAAUUCAGUGGCAGCAGAGCUCCAGAAAAGCCAAAUGCAACACAUCCCUGUGCCAUACUGCACUGAAAAACUGAUGAAAUAUUAAUCUCUCAGGCUCCACAUGCAAAACACAACAGAAAAGAAAGUCAGAAUGAGAAAAAAGAACACAGCGGGGGUUCUGUAUAUUAGCAUCAACAAGCCACAUUUAAAGGCUAACACAAAAUGCAGCAACCCUAGCCCCACAUGUUUGUAAUUUUGAAACUCUUGUCAUAGCUAAGUAAUAGCAUGGCCACAGCAGGAUGCACCAAAAUUAAAGGUAAAAGCUCUCCUAAGGGGUGAAGAGAAGAGGUAAUGGUGCCAGAAUGGUCACAGAAAAAGCCAUUUAUCUUGAGAGUGAGAGAGAGAUCAAGGCAGAAGGACUAGAUUAAUUACAAAGAUCCAUUUAGUGCUAUUAUCUUUUUCCUUUGUGACAUCUGAAAGCCUUUGACUAUUAUCUACUGUUGCAGAAAUUUUCUCUGGUGUAGGCAUUUGGUCAUUCAUACAUGCACUGAUUCUUGCUGACACAGUAACAGACAGUGUUCUGCAAGUGACACCAGUCUCCUCAGCUCAAAGGCUGGCUUGAGUGAAAUACUUCAGGAAUUUAUGAGGUCUUCCCCAGUAACAAUAAGAAAAACAAAUACACAGACACAUUAAAAAAAAAAAAAAAAAAAAGGAAGACAUUUUUUGUCAAAAUGUUUUCAUAUGACAAAAAUGUUUAUGUCUAAGUUUCCUAAUGUUUCAGAUUUUGGUCUUGUAGCAAAUGAAAAUGAGGGGUGGAAUAAUAAUUUGCAUCUCAAUUAUCUCAUCCAAAUGUGCUCUGAUGCAAAAUAUUACAAGAGCAGGUUAGCACCAGUCUCACUUUGAUUUCACCAAUUCUGCAGUCUAGCAAUUGCAUCACCUUGGACCUAGAACGUCAGCAAAAGCCUAGAAAACACAAAAUGUCCUUAGUUUCAUUAGUUUCUUUAGUGGUUUUGAUAACUGCUGCAAAUCUAUGACAUGAAAUUAAUGGUUUUAUAUUAUGUUAUAAAUUUUUCCACACACCAGCCCUGCUGACUCCUCAGCAGUAAGUAGACUGUAUUACCCUUGUCUACCCUGUUCAGGCCAUCAUCUUCCUCCUUCUGACUUCCACAGUUCAGUCCAUAGGCCUUUUACUCACAUUAAGUAACAUAUUCUGAUCAGAUCUCUUUCAUUGUUCUCAGCUUGUACUCAGACUGCACAGGAGCUUAUGUAUGUAAAACACUUCAGCUUUUCCAAUAGUAUCAGGAUUUCCAGUAAGCAGUAACAUCCUCUAUCUCUGAAUCUGAAAUAAGUCGGUCUGGUUGAAGUUUCAUUUUCACACAAGGUUUAUUCAAACAGAUGGAUGCUGGCUUCUUAGAAAUAGAUCAGACCUUUACACCAGCAAAAAAAAUUCAUUGAGACAGAGAAAAUGAGAGAGUUUUGGCUGUAUUGUUGUUUGUUGUUGUUUUGUUUUUCACUAUCAAUUUUACUAAUCUAUAAUUUCUUCCUUAUAGCUUUGUUGUUCAUUUUGUUUUUUAAUAGACUAAGAUUUUCAAAUGUGCAAAAAGGAAACAAGACAGUUAAAUAACAGUGUUCCUUAUCUUUUCCAUUAUGUGCCAUCAUAUGGGAUUCCAGAGUGUAAUCCAGGGAAGGUCAGGGUAGAGGCAUACCACAGCUGGACAAGUAAUAUUUGAGGAGCAUCCUGGAGCGCUCAGUUAAAUUGAAGACUACAGUGAAAUCCCUCUUUUUCUCUGAUACCAGGCUCAAUCUUCCUGGUUCGUAAUCACUGAUUAUGAAGCCUUGCUGCAUCUCAAACUGGACUGAUUUUUGUGCCAAAUGCAUAAAUGAAAUGGGAGCUUUCAAAAGAGUGAAAGAGUAUCAACCACAGAUCAGCAAAACAAAAGAACAAAGAAACAACAACAAAAAAACCCAACAAACAUUACAUUCCCCUUUUCUCUAAAUUGAAACUCCUUUACAAAAGGUACACUGAAGGCCCUUGACAUUUGACCUCCACCCUGUUGGUCAACACUAAAACAUUUAGUUAUUAACCCAAAGCCUGGAGAUUUUUCAGGCCCCAGACUUUUUACUGAGCUGGCAGCACAGAGAUUAAUGAUUUGCACAGGCUCACCCCACGGUGCCUGGCAGCUGGGACACAGCCACCAUGGCCUUUACUUCCGACAGAGAUAAGGCCAGGGCUCUGGAAGACAACGAGAUGGGAGAGAGGGCAGACUCAAAAGGAGGCCAGCAUCCCUAGCUGCAAAUACAAAGGACAACCUAUCAUGAAAGGUGCUAAAACAGUGACUUAACCUGAAAAAGUUCCAGAAUGGGAGAUGAUAUUUUAUGUUAAACCAUGGCUCAUCCCAAGUUGUAUUCAGCUGAAGUCCCCCAGGAGCAGGAUGAUGGUAUCUUCUAAACUUGGAAUGUGCAUCAAGCACUAAUGAGCCAUAAUAAUACAUAUUUUGCAUAUUUUCCUUGGAUUUAUUUCUUAUGCAUGCCUGUAUACUUUAAAAUAAGAUGCUGAUAUGAAAAAUGAAUCCACAUUGAAGGUUCAAGACAUCCAUAUUAUUCACAGCACCUCUGUGCUGCUAAACUUUUCAGAAGAUAUCAGAAAUGAGAGAUGCCUUCUUGGACAUAUCUGUGAUAAGCUAAUGUCUAGAUCUAAAGUACCAUCAAAUAAAUAGUAUUGGUCAGAUGUCUAAAAUUCCAGCAUAACAAUAUAUAUGUGAAGCAGCUGUGCAAUGUUUGAUGUUAGCUAUGUACCAAAUUUAAUUAGAUAUUUCUAUUUCUAGAGUAAAAUUGAUAUAGACUGAGCAACUGGGAAGGAUUCUUUGUCAGUUAGAGCCUGGCUCUGCUUCUCAGCACACAAAGCAAGAAAACCAUCUGUGAAGGGGCUCUGAAACAUGGGAUCUAGCCAAAGAACAGCAGCUGGAGAUCAGGAAAUUGCUUGCCAUGGAAUACAGAGGCAACACUUGAAGACAUAGCUUUAAGUCUCAAAAUGUAAGAUAAAUUUAAGAAAGUGAAGGUCCGGACCAAAAAAAAAAAAAAAAAAAAAAGCCUAAUUUUGCAGAGAUGGCAGACUAAGGUAUGACAUACUCCUACUCAAAACAACUGUACAUUCUUUGACUUCUUCCUUCCUGAUGGCCAAGAUAAGAUUUAUUUAACAACUACAAAAAUAUAUGAAGACUGCUGUGGUUUAUCUUUUGACAGUUCAGCUGAGAUGUUCUGGACUAGGUGGAUGAAAGUUGGUCCCUAACAUUCUACUCUAAGUUUUAAAUUUACUGGAUAACCACAAGAAAAAACAACAGGUUAAUUUCACAUGCUUCAGUACCUUAAGAGCUUUUCUGUCUAUCUAGAAAUAUUCCUUUAUUUGUUUGAUUUAUAUAUUUGCAAAGUUCUUCUCCUUCGUUAAUUACAAAAGGCAACAAAGAGUAAAAGGAGAAAUCUUAAAAUAUACCUAAAUAAGAAAAGAUACAUAUCUUGGAAAAUAAGUAUAUCAGAUCAUAACAAUUUACUGAUUUUUUUUUUUUUUAAUUUUUAAUCUGCAUAAUGUAAUGAAAUUAAAUCCUUUGCUUUUCUUGGCACAAGACCCAUUGGAAAAAAUCACGUUAUAUGUUGAAGUGUUCUUUUAUUUUUUUUACAAGAUAUGAAACGGGAAGGGUGGAGGGGGGAACAAAAUUUCUUCAGAGGGAAUAGCAGAGCUUAAAAACUAAAGCCAAACAAAAAAGAUUUCCAGACCAGCAACAUCCUCUGGCUGUUUGAUAAAAAGCCUGAACAGCUACACAAGGUCAAAAUAGCGUGGUAGGAAGGGAUUUACUUUUUCUGCACAUAAAAUUGGAUUUUUAAGUUCAAGGUCUAGAUUUCUUUCUUUUACAUCUGCAGUACCUCUGGCAAAGAAAACAACCUGUUCUCUUUCACAUUUUAUAUUUAUAUGACCAUGAACAUACUAUUACGUUUCAAUAAACUCGUGUUUACAAGCAGGUAGUAAAAUGUUGAGAAAAUCAUGCUAAUAACUGUACAGAUAUCAGGUUCUGUUUUAAAUCUUUAGUUAUUACAGCUUGCUGUGGAAACACAGCAGUUUAAGCACUGAGUAUUAAAGAGUUUGUGGAGUGCUAUAAAUUUCAGAUGCAUUUAUGUUAUAUGGUACUGUGCAAAUCAUAAUCUGAAAGUCAGUUUCAUUUGUGCAAUGUGUGCUUUAAUAGAAGAAAAACAGUUCAAGCAUGUGUGCUUUCCAUUUUUACAAGGAUCUUAAAAGAUUAUUUAAGUUGAAGGAAAAGCAGCUUCGAAUGAAAUUUGAGCUACUACCUGAAGAAAAGAUGGCAAGGAAUAACUGAAAUGAUAAAGCACUUAGUAAAAUUCUAACUUUCUCUGUUUUAUGAGCAAUUAAAAAUUUUCUCUAACAUUCCAUUGAGGGGCAGGGAAGACGACAAAAUUACCUUAUGAGCAAUUCUAUCAUGCAAAUCACUUAAUCUGAUUCCGUGUUAUGGUUUGAUUCCAGUCAGUUCUCAACUACUGAUUAUUUUGAUACAUAACUACAUUAACAAGCAGGACAGCUUUGUUCCUUGGGCUGCGUGGAAGUGGAGCAUCUUUCUUGGUUUGCCCACAAAUAAGGAAAAAACAGAAAGGGAAAAAAAAAAAAAAAGGAAAAGGAAAAAGUGCAAAUGGGAAAAGAAGCAAACGCAGCGUAACAGUGCAAAGCUGUAACAGUCCUGGAGGAAACUCUCCAGAGAAAACAAACAAGUGGGCAGUACAGAAUGAGGGAACGCAAAACACCCUCAGUCACAGAGAUUUGAGAAGACAUAUUCUAUUCUAUUCUAUUCUAUUCUAUUCUAUUCUAUUCUAUUCUAUUCUAUUCUAACCCCAACACAGGGUUCUGCUGACCUUAGGAGGCUGCAAAGCAUUAGCAGUUUGGGGGUGCCUGCCAUAGUUUAUAUUACUGUGUUGCUAAAGUUUACCAGAACUAAAUGCUGGCAAACAUAUCCAUCAUAACCGUACGCAAUGUUACUGUGAGCAAUUGCAGUUGUAUCUUGCAGUGCUCAUGUCAUUAAAAGACUGCUGCCAUAGGUACACAUUUACCUAAUCACAGUCACUUUCUUCCCAGGAUAAUGCCACUCUUGAGCAUCUUUUUGCAAAUUUCUACUUGUAUUGGAAGUUCUUCAGCUAGCAAUUUCAAGAAAAAAGAAACCUGUUUAUAUUCAUCAUCUUCAGUAAUUUGUAAAAGGACCUACUUUCACCUGGACCUUGAAUGUUGCCUUAGUUACAGAAGAUGGCCAAAAUAAGAGAAUCUAAAAUAAAAUAUAGGUUGGAAAACUUCAGAGGGAAGCUGAUUUAUUUCUUUUUAAAUAGUGUCUAUGUCUCUUAAAUAAGAAAGAAUAACACAGCACUCACAGUAGAGACCAGUCUUACUGUUAGGUCUGGAAUAGGACACAGAAAUAUUUAUUUUGUCCUGUACAAGACUUCUGGUGAUUGGGGAUUAAGAGAUAAAUUCUAUCCAAAUACACUGUAGAAGUUAAUACCCUCCCCACGUUCCUUGCCACAGCCUACCAUCAUCACAAGAGUCAGGAGAAACUGUUAGUAACAGAGAAUCUGAGCUAAGACAAUACACAUGUUGUCUCCUGCUAAUAUUGCUGGGAGGCAGCAAUCUCUUGAGAAAGAAUACAGAUCUGGGUUUUAAAACCUAAGCUACAAUAACAAGAGCUGCCGGUGGUUGUAAAUAGCAGCAAGUAAACAUAGUGAUUCAAGAGUCAUUCUGUACUAGUAAAUGAGUAUUAAAUACAUUAAAUACACUGUAUUAUAUGAAUAACUGUAUGUUAGUCUAAAUAUAUGGCAUUAAUUUAACAAAGGAUUAGUUCCCACGAGUAGAAAAGAAUGCAACACCUUCAGAUAACUACCUAUCUAGCAACACUUGAGAGGCAAUACAAGGAUUGACCUCUUGUUGAACUCACCAGCCCACGUCAAAGAGGAAAGUCAUAGAGAAAAUGGGAAGGACAAAGGAUCUGAAACUGUUUUAAAACUCUAAAAGCACUUACUCUUCAGAAAUUGCACUCAGAUAAAUAAGAUGCCUUAUUUUUUAUAAAGAAAUCAAAAUUCCUAGGUUCCAAGAAAAGGGGGAAAGACACAAGUAAAAUAAUUAUCAACAUAGUUAUUUCAUCUGUUAUAAGCUACACUUUGUGGACUGUGGUCCCGCUAUUAAACAGUACUUUGAAAAGCCCUCCUGAUCACCAUUUUUGUCACUGGUCACAAAGCAGCAGGAGUUUGAACUGAUCCAGGGAUUUCACAAAACAAAUUGUCAUGGGAAUUACAAGUGGAAUUGCAUUCCGCUUCAGAAUCGGAGAUAGCUCAGACCUGAUCCCUACUGAGGUGUGAUCAAAAAAAGCAACACAAGAAAAUAUAUCCCUGUAGUCAAAAUGACAAGUCAAUAAAUACUGUUUUGAUAGUGCAUUCUUGUUAGUACUACAACAGUUAAAAUUGCUUGUCAGAACAUCCUGCACUACACAUGGUAACAUUCCUCAUGUUUGCUUUAACCUGAAGACUAGGGCUGGUCAUGGUCUUCAUACUAGAGUUAUCAUUGUUCUGUGUAUUCUGGGAGAUACAUAGAGUAUCACAUUUUUCCAUAAUGUACUUGGUACGUUGCUCUUUGAAAAUCAUCUAGAAAGCAUAAAACUAUUCCUGUGUUCUCAAGCAAAUGUAUCACUCCAGCAAUAGUAAAUAACACAACACAUAGCUCAGGGAAUUCAAUUUCAAUUGGAUUCAAUCUCCUAAUUAUUUUGCAUAAUUUCUUGAUGUGAAACUUCAAUACAAGUAGUCAGGGACCUUAAAAUCUUUGUAGUAAGUAGCAGGGUUAUAAGUCUCAUGUGGUUAUUUCUAGUAUUCUUUGAGAAAGAAAGAAAGAAAGAAAGAAAGAAAGAAAGAAAGAAAGAAAGAAAGAAAGAAAGAAAGAAAGAAAGAAAGAAAGAAAGAAAGAAGAAAGAAAGAAAGAAAGAAGAAAGAAAGAAAGAAAGAAAGAAAGAAAGAAAGAAAGAAAGAAAGAAAGAAAGAAAGAAAGAAAGAAAGAAAGAAAGAAAGAAAGAAAGAAAGAAAGAAAGAAAGAAAGAAAGAAAGAAAGAAAGAAAGAAAGAAAGAAAGAAAGAAAGAAAGAAAGAAAGAAAUAUCACCAUGACAGGCGAGCUAAAGUAUUUGACAUAGCAUUAUAUCUGACCAAAAUCCAACCACAUUUCUAGCUACUGAUCAAGAAGAAAUUCUAUUCUCCUCUGCUUCACAGACAUAUAAUAUUUAUAAUAUAAUGAUAUAUAAUAGUCAUCAUCUAUUUUAGAUUGUUUUUAUAUGGGUAACAGAUAUUAGAAUGCAGCCACUACUUCAAUUCAAACUAAGUCAUGGUAUCUCUGCCUGCGGUAAAAUGCAACAUGCUUUAGGGUGCCAGGAGAGGAAUACCUAAAUUGAACAUUAGAUAUAACAGACUUUCAUAUCAUGUAAUUAAAAAUAUACUGUCAUUGUUUUUGGAGACGUUCUCCUGUUGGAUGCCUUUGUUUUAGAGUAUUUCUGGUAAUUAACACACUGUGACAGACCAUGGAAACUAGGCCAAAAUUUUUAAAAAAAUUCUCAUCCAGAGGCUUGGUGUUUAAAGUGGCUAGGCUUGACAACAAAAAGACUCCUUACCAGACUGCAGAUAAACAAGAGCAGACUUAGAAAUGCUUUUUUCUUUUCUCUCAUCCAGCAGUGAUCUAACUCCCAGCACUCAGUGCACAGUAGAAACUCACUUUCUCCUUUCCCAGGAGAGACUUUGUUUUUUCUCUUUGUUCAACACAUGAAAAAAAAUAAAAAAUCAGGAAGAAAUUUCUUUUAGUUCUAUUUCAGCUGUGGUUGGUCCAGUAGGAAAAUUAACCAACACGCUUGUAAAAGCUGUAAAAACUCCCCUGAUCAACAUAGGGAAGUUAGGCUGUAGUCAUGCCUAUACCUAGCAUCAUUUCUGCUUAUCCAACGAGAGCUUAAUGCAAGAGGCAGUAGAAUGCAACAGGAAACAGAUUGCCUGUUUUCUAUAAGAAUUUUCCUCCUGCUAGGACAGCACAUGAAGCCAUGCCCUUGGCCUAGAGUUUGUGUUCUUCUGCUGUGCUGCAGCCCCCUGAGCCACUAUGUAACCUCAGUGUAAGUCAUCAUUGUCCUUUUGCUUUUUUCAAGUGUAGUGAAUUUGGACAAUCAGAUACUCCUGACAAUACCCAGAACUCCUUCUUCUUCAAUCGUAACCUGAUCUGAGAAGUAUCAGAACAGUCUGGGAGUUCUGGAAGUGUAUGGUUGGGAGAAAAUUCCAGAAUUGCCUCACCUGAAAUAUGGCUAAAAUGCAAAGUUUUCUGACUAAAGUAAAUUAUCUCAAGGUCAAAUAAGGGUCCUAAGAAAAGAGCCCCUUACACUCUCAAAGCCCACAGUAGUCUAUGAUGUCUCCUUGAGCUGGGAUACCUCUGAGGGUAGGCUUUUUUUUGAGGUGCCUUUUGAAGUAGAAGAGUCCUUUAUAGGAUAAUAUCCCAUCAUCCACUGAGGGCCAGUGACGAGGGGGGAGAGUAGUUCACCAAAUGGGAGAAGUUCCUUGCAUGCAUGACUAAGUUUAGAAAUCUCCCCUUAGAAUAUCUUGUGUGUUAAGUUUCAGGUGAACCUUGCUAUUCUUAAAACUUUAAGUCACUGUAUUUGAUUGUAGUAAGCUCCAUUGAAUCAUUCUGUUAAAAUAGCUAUUGAUUGAGUUCUGAUUAAGUGCUACUAAGAAUCAUACAAUUCUAACCCUGUGUCAUGGUUUUAUGAUUUUUGAUUACUGGUAUUCCACAUCAUAACAUCACAUAGUGCACUGGGAGUUAAAGAGUUAAUGUUCCAGUUCCAGGUGCCUGUCUGGAAGAGAAGAACUACAUACCCCAGGGGGCUUUGCAGUCAGAGAGGAGAUAUAACCUCUGGCAAGGUCACCUGAUGGCCCUUUUUUUUCCUUAGUCUCUCCUCCCUGUUGCUCAUCCUGACCGCACACAUCACCUCAGCACAACUAAAAAGAAACAUUUUACAUCCCAGAUUCAUGAAUCCUUCUGAGGCAUGAUGUUUUAAAGCUGGGCUGGUAGACCUGAAGUCAUGAUGAUCAGCAAAGUACAGGAACUGAGAGUCUGUGUUGAAGAAAGCCAUUGGAUCAAGACUUUCAGAGAUUGAACUGUCUUCGUAUUUAAAAAAGUGUCCACCUUAAAGCCAAGAUUAAGGUCUCGGGCAGGGCCGGAUUCAAAGGAUUCAGUGGAUACAUAUCAUUCUGGGCUGGUUGUGUGUUACAGAUAAAAGUUUAUUUGCCAUGAAGACAGUAGAUUUUUCUGGGCAGAACACACAGCCAGAAAAGAUGAGCAGAUAUUGAAUUUCCUUAUUGGUUUUGUUAGUUAAAAAAGAAAAUUGGAUUGGUUACACCCAUAUGGUAUUUUGCAUAACGUAUUUAUAAUGUAAUUAUAUUUAUUAAUGAUAUAUGAAUAUUGCUAUUAAGGUCCAUAUUUACAGAUUAAAAAAAAUCUUCAUUAAGUUAUCUUUCAAAGAAAAUCCCCAUGAAUAAUCUCAAAGUCAAAAAUGUGCCCAUGGAAACAAGUGAGAUAUUAUUUCACCCUUGUAUUUCUUCUCAUCCAUAUAUACACCUUUUCAAACAACAUGUGUCAUGUCUGCACUCAGCAGUGACGCGGAAACCAGAGGCUAAAAGCUCUGGAAUAAGAAACAGCCUGUGUUAGCAAAUAGCCCUGAAACUAGUACAAAGGGAGAGUGCUCCCAAAUGCAAACUUCUGCAUCAGAAUUGUGUGCUGCACCAUUAAUGGCCCUGAUCAGCAUUAACUGUGGCUCUGCUCUAAGGUGUAAACCUCAAAUGGCAAGGCAAACAAUGCCCUGAAGACUUCAUAACACUGAGAGGUCAACUGGUCAGCACAGCAAUAAAGGACACAUAGUAAGUUACAAAUACAGAGCAGUGAAACGUGACUGUGUUUCUUUUCGUCAGUCCUUUCCUUUACCAGAGGCAUCUAAAGGUAAUGCAAAAGCAAUUGAAAACAAAAUAAUCAAGAGAUCACUCUGGCAAUCUUGAGGUAAGAUCACUGUUUCCAAUUAUUUUCCUCACAGUAAAACUGGGACAAGGAGAGAGGGUUUGCAUAGGCUUUAUUUACCAGACCUGCUGUUCAAUACAGUCCUGGUGGAAGGAAUUAUUGCUAGCAGAGCAUAUCACAGCCACCCAGCUAAGUACACCUAUGCUGCAAGUUCAGUACAGACCAAAUCAAGGACUGAAGAAGAGCCAAGCUACCUUUUCUGAUGAGCUGUAUUUUAUGCUCCUCAACUGCAAUCUACUAGCUCCACAGUCCAAAUUCCAGUAUGUACCAACAUUAUCUGCCAAGUGCUAGAAAAGUUUAGAACAGCUGAGGAAAAGCUCAAACAGUGAACAGCACUAGGUAUUAGUUACACAAGCCUGAUAUUCCUUCAUUGCUGAGCACCAAAAGAUCCCAGUUGUUGGCAGCCAGAGUUUUUUAUUUCUUUUCAUAGAAAAUGGUUGACAGUAAUUCUACCUACAGCUAAGCUGCUUCAGGAAUAAGUACCAAAAGGAGAUGAAUGGCACACAGACUUCGAGCUGGAAGCUGAGGUGAGCUAUAUAGAACAGAAAGAAGAUAUUGAAGGUCAUGCUCUAUGGUUAUCAGUACGCUUUCUGAAUAGCAACACAGAAAUAGAAAAAAUCAUUUGAAAUCAAGAUUUCUUUAAAACAGGAAAGAGGAACAGUGAGGCACUUUUAUAUCUUGGUAUCACUCUAAUAAAUUCUACUGCAACAUACAAAAAGAAACAUUAAGAUGCAAUUCUACUUUGAAUGUAUGCAUAUAAUUGGCUCAAAUAUUAUCCAUAGUAAAACCAAGAGGAAACACUGACAUUAGUAUGACCAAUAUUUCAUACAGCAUGUGCUAAAUAGGUAACAUACUCACUUGACCAAAUAUGUAUGUGAAUAUUGUAACAUCACGGUGAAUUCUUGCAUAUUAAUCUUAUAUUGUUGAAUCCUUGCAUAUUAAUCUUAUAUUGUUAUCCUUCUAGGUUUUUUGUUUGUUUGUUUGUUUGUUUUUGUGGGUUUUCCUUUUGUGUUUUUGUUAGUUUUCUGUUCUUUUUUUAUUAUUAUUAUUCUUAAGAUCAUGCCAUUUCUCAUUACCAGAAAUUUGAAUACUCUUAUGAUUUCGAUUAAAAUCUUCUUAGAAGAAAUAAAUAGGAUGCAGUAGGCUGAAGAACUAUAGAAACUAGUGUUCAUUAUUUUUCUUGCUUUGUAUUCUGAUAAGGUGAUUGAAUGACCCCAAAGCUGAAAUGCCAUAAUUGGUUGACAAAAAGAGGCAAUAAUUAAGGAGUAUCUACCUCCCAUUUACCCAGGAAGGGGACAAAGAAUAUAUUCUUUUCUCAUAUGCAACAUGUCAAUGUCAUAUAUUUCAAAUAUCAGUUGUAUCUCUUUCAUUAGUAUUUAUACCUUUUUACAGCACUGAAUUCACUAGAAACCUAGAUCCUUUUAUUACCGUACUGCAGCUCUUAAAGUCUUACUUUUAUAUAUGCUCAGGUCCUUCAACAUUAUUAUAUUUCUGUUGCCGUAUUCCUUCCAUCCAGUAGACACAGGUGCAGUGUUUUUAAUCAGUGUUUACCAUUGCAGCACCCGUAAAAAAACCACUAAUUAUGCAUAUAAAAAUAUCUGAUUAAGAAUUACAGAAAACUUGUCUUUUACAAAACGUAAUUUUGUGAGUGAGUGAUUAAAGUGAAGAUAUUAUUAGCUGUGUGAGAAAAUAUUUAUAUUUCUAUUUCAUGUGAGUAUUCUCAUCCUAUUGUAAUUUCCAAAUGAUAAGGCAUAGGACUUCCAUUGCUGCCAUUAAUGAUUUACCUGUUUUAAACUGAAAAACUAUGACUGCUUCAUUUGUUAGAUUACAUAGGUGCAACAUCUGUGGCCAGUCUGUCUGCAUAAAUGAAAUAUAUUUUCUGAUAUUAUGUCAUAUUUUGCCUUCAUAACUGAAGCUGAAUGAAAGACAGAAAACGGCCCCAAUGCCUCCAAGCUUUGGAGCAUACAAACAGAUUGAGAAGGGUAUCAUCUGCACGUGUUACUGCAGCAGCCUUCUCUUUGUUUUCAAACUCAACUCGGAUUCAUUCCAAAAUAUCCAAGUCCAAACCUAAUUUCUGGCACGACCUGCAGGAUCAAAUAUGUCUCCUUGGCAUUCACUUGCUAUGAGAAAGCCUCAAAAGGACAAUGAAUGACAGCCAAACUGAUUAUCAGUUUCAGUGACUGAAGGUCAGCAAGUGUAACAUCUGCCUUGCUGGUGCUUGCCUACAUAUUCAUGUGCAACUUUCUGCUCAUCCAGAGGUCACAAAAACUCACAGAAUGAACAAGAUCCCAGAGGAUACCUCUGUUUCCUUAGACACAGUGACAGAUUUUUCUCUUACAUUUGGGUAAGGGAAUUUUUGGUAAAUAUGACUGACAGAAGUAGCUGCAUGGGUCAAAAUCACCCCUUGGAUAUUUUUAAAAUUUGAUUAUACAAAGAUCAGGAAGAGAAGAAUGGCCAACAAGGCACAGGAAUAUUUAUUCUAUCCUUUACAGUAUAUGCUGACUCAUUAAGCUAAGGAAAAAGUGCUGAUAUUUUCACAGAACCUUUCCCAUUGAACAAAAACAAACAAAUGAAAAAAAAAUGCUGUCUCAUCAUGUAAUGUAAAUUAAUAUAACUCUGAUUAACUUUGAGUAUCUGUCCAUCAGUCUAUAUAAAAUCACGUCUUCAGAAUGUCAGCCAUGCAGUUGGGUGAGUAAUGUCCAAAAUAAAUCUGAAAUGCUAUUGAAAGUGCACUGUUUCUUCUCCCACGAUAUAGGGGAGUGAUCUUGUCAUACCAUGAACAACUUUAAAAAAUGCUCAUGAAGUGCAAAUUAUUUUUUUAAUCAAAUAUUACACUAUUUGGAUGAGUCCAGUGCUAAAUUUUAAAUCCUGAAAGGAUAACUAAGGGUUCAGAGAUAACAACAUCUACAGAGGUCAGAUUCAUUGCUCUGGAAAUCUGGAACCUUGGGAGUUGUAGGAAUAAAAUCAUAGAAAGAAGGAAAGAAAGAAGGAAGGAAGGAAGGAAGGAAGGAAGGAAGGAAGGAAGGAAGGAAGGAAGGAAGGAAGGAAGGAAGGAAGGAAGGAAGGAAGGAAGGAAGGAAGGAAGGAAGGAAGGAAGGAAGGAAGGAAGGAAGGAAGGAAGGAAGGAAGGAAGGAAGGAAGGAAGGAAGGAAGGAAGGAACAACAGAAUUAGAUAUUUUUGCACCUGACACCCAUUAGAUUUAUGUUUUGAUCAUUUUAGUUUCAAAAAAUAUUUUUUUGUUUGUUUGUUUGGAACAACAUUCUGGAAGUUAUCUAAAGAAUACUCCCUUUCAUAAACCAAAUAGAAAUAACUCAGUGCAUCUGCCUCCAAGUAACCUCAAGUAAAUCAGUUGUCAUGAUACAGGAAACCAGAUGUGAAUUCCAACAUCGUAGCAGUGGAGCUGAAGUGGCUGAGGUGGAACUGCUCUCUAAUGGGUACAUUUUCCAUCAUACAGUUGCAAAACCGUUGCAUACUUGCACAGACUCCUCAGCACCCUAACAGUGACAAAUAUCACCAAGAAAGGUGACCAUUGCAAAGAGCAAAAAAGACUACGGGUUUCUUACUACAUGUAUUCUAACAGUCUUCAUCUUCCUAGAUCUAUUGUUCUCAUUUUUGUUUUUGUUUUCCCAUGUUUUCUCAGUAUUUAUACUAAACAACAAAACUAAGAAAAAAUGUUGAUCAUCAACACAGGAUAUAAAUGUUUAAGACUCUUGAUGUUUAUUCUACAAGCACUGAGACUAAGUCACACUUGUUAACUAAAAUUGAAUGUUUAACAGCUAGAAAAACUUCAUAUUUCAAUUUGACAUUUUAAGUGAAACACAGAAGUACAUGUAAGUGCAAUUAGAGUGUUAUAAAAAAAAAAAAAAAACACCUGUGAAAGGCAGAAACAAAAGAAGGCAUUAGUGUGUAAAGUAAUUCUAGUAGGUAGGUUGGAAAAAUUAGUUUCAUAACGAUGACUUAAUUCAACAUGUGCCUGAGGCAACAGCAAAAAAGGUUAAAUUUCCUUUCUCAAUCAAAUUUUAUAUUCUUGCAGAAGAUGUUAUUUCAUAUUCUUGUGUUAUAUUAAUUAAACACAACAGAACCAGGAGAUAUCAAGACCCGCUAUUAGUACAAGCUGGGGAAUGUAUGGAUGGAGUACAGCCCCUCCGAAAAAGACUUGGGAGUACUGGUGAAAGGAAAACCAGACAUAAGCUAGCAACUUGCUCUUGAAGCCCGGUAUGCCAACUGUAUGCUGGGCUGCAUCAAAAGAAAUGUGGCCAGCAGGUCAAGGGAGGUCAUCCUGCCCCUCUGCUCUACACUGGUGAGACCUCACCUGGAGCUCUGAAUCUAGAUGUGGAGUCCUCAGUACAGGAGAGACACAGAUCUGUUGGAGCAGGUCCAGAGAAGGAUCACAAAAAUAAUCCAAGGGAUGGAACACCCCCACUAUGAGGAUAGGCUGAGAGAGCUGGGACCGUUCAGCCUGGAGAAGAGAAGGCUCCAGGGAGACCUGAUAGCAGCCUUUCAGUACCUAAACGAGAAUUAUAAGAAAGGAGACAGACUAUUUAGCAAGGACUGUUGUGGUAGGACAAGGGGAAAUAGUUUCAAAGUAAAAGAGGGAAGAUUUAAUUUGGACAUAAGGAAGAAAUUUUUUACAAUAAGGUUGGUGAGGCACUCGCACAGGUUGCCUAGAGAGGCAGUGGAUGCCCUUUUCCUGGAGACAUCCAAGGUUGGGCUGGACAGGGCUCUGAGUAAUCUGAUCAAGUUGUAGGUGUCCCUGUUCAUUGCAGGGGAGUUGGACUGGGUGGCCUUUUAUUGUCCCUUCCAGCUCAAAUGGUUCCGUGAUUCUAUGAUUCUAUGAGACACCAGCACAAGGUUAUAUCUCCAUCUGCUGUAGACAGACCACGAAACUCAUUGCAAGAGAUAUUCAUUCCAUAAAAUCAGAGUAUGCAAAACAGAAUUUCUUUUCUUUCUUACCUCAGAUAAUUUCACUCAUAUACUGUACAUCUUCCAAAUGCUCUGACUGAUUUAAACUAUGAACUUAAUACAUUAAACACAGGUGUAGCUCUCCAUUCACAAUGUCCUUGCCACCAUCUGUGUUUUAAGAAAAUUUUAAUUCCAGGCGAAAACAUUUUUGUUCUUCAUUCACAGUAAAUUACUGUAUGAAUAGCAUGAGGGGUGUAUUCCUUUAACCCUUAUCCUUCAAAUAAAUUGAGUAGUUUUUAUUAAUUAUUAAAUACUAUUUGUUAUUAAUGAACAUUCUCUUGUCAUUGUCCUGGACUACACAGUGUUUAUUAGAGGAAAAAAAACCAAACAAACAAAAAAGAAGAACAAAAAAACCAAAACCAAAAACAAACCAACAACCGUCCCCCUCCCCCCCCCCCCCCCAAAAAAAAAACCUACCAUGAUUAACAUGGAUUUAUUUAUUAGGAUAAAUGGAUUUGUUUAUUAGGAUAAAUUCUAAUUAGACCUUAGAUGGCGUGUUCCACUGUUGUAACUGCAUAUAUAAACACAGCAUAAGAGAAAGACAUGUAACAUAAAUAAACUGAAGAAAACAAUUGCCAAGGAAAUUACCAAGUCUCAUUUGAGCACGCUUUUUGUUCUUAUCUAGCCAGAGCCUUGUUCACAUGCUUAACCUGAAACAUUUCAGAGGAACUAGAGAGGUAAAUGGAAAUACACACUUACAUGCUAACAACUCAUGACAGAUGUAGGAUAUGAUGCGAGACUGUGUCUUUGUAUCAGAGGAAUGUAUGUUGUGUCCUCUUCAGAUCUGACUGAAAACUAAUUGAUUUAGUUCUCAGGUUCAUUUCACUGAAUAACAUUUUCAGAAAUAUUGUCUAAUUUUGAUCUUAAGUUAACGUGUGUGAUGAAACACUUCUACUUUGAGCUAAAUAAUGUAUAAGAAAAAGUGACUCUAUGCUAAGUUUCCUAUUAAAUCUAGAAGUCUCUAGUUGAGUCAUUUAUGUGCAGUUCGUGAGGUCAAACAAUUUACUUUCUUAUGGUUAAUUAUAACUUUUGAGGGAAACUAAAAGGCCUUCAUAUUGUGUUUCUGCAAAUAAUUACCAUUAAUGUGAUUAAAUUCAUGUUUAAUACUUAUCUAAAUUAGCUCAUUAGCUUGUAUGGAUGUUUGAAAACCUCCAAAGACUGAAAAAUAUUCAGCUUUCAUUACAUUCUUGAUACUGAUCUCUCAGACUGUGGAUAUCAUAUUCAUUACUCUCUGUAUACAUAGUACUAUAUGGAAUAUCACUUGUUUCAUAGCAAUUAUUAUGCAAAUCCCAAGAUCUACUUGCUUGACACUCCCCAGUGACAAUGAAAUCUUGUUUGGCUUAAAUAAUCAUUUGGGAGCCAUUUACACUGUGACUGACUAUUACAGGUUGUAUAUAGUGGGAACUGUAUUUUCUUACAUUAGAAAGUAAUAUGAAAAAGAAAACAUCAACAGAACAAUAUUUCUGUUUCCCUGCGACUAAAAUACUGGUGCCUAGGUCCUUUUUUUCCUGGAGUUUAAGUUACUAGAUUAAAAGAAAAAAAGAAAAAGCAAUGCCAGAUUGGUCUCUAUUACUCUUGUUAAUGCUACCUAUAUUUCUUGUACUGGGAAGCUUUUCAUGGACUGAUUUCAAUUAUGCUACUCAAAGAGGUAAGCACUUCUCAUAAGAAGUACAUAGCUUUGUUCUUGUUAUCAUUCCUCUUCGCUAAAGAAAGUAGAAGAAAACAGUAAAUGAGAAAUCUUUCGAAGUAUUUUAAUUGAUAAAGCAACUUAUGUCUUACAGAAAACAGUAAAUGCAUAUUUAUACAUUGUUAUAUCAUUUAACUUUUUACAAAGAUGCAUAAAUAUAUACCUAUAUAACAUUACAAUGAUUGAAGAGAUGGAAAACAUUUUCUCUCAAUGCAACAACAUAGUUUUUUUAUUAACUAGAACUCUGAAUAAAAUCUGAUUUUUAUAAUCAGUAGGACCAAAAUCUCAGUUGUCUAUGAGAUUCAUCAUUAAUCCUGAUUUCUUUGGAGCAGUUAGAAUUUUAUUUUAUGUUCAGCUUUUGUAACUCCAUUUCCUGGAAUAUUGAGUACUAUUAAAAAAAAAAAAAAAAAAGUAAAACCUUAAAAUUAUAAGACUUCCUGGCAUUCAUUGAAACCACAAAUUGAGAUUCAAUUAAGUAAAUUCCUGCUGACAAAGCAUCACAACAGGUUAAUAGAGGAAAGCUUUUUGCUCUUACUUCUCCAUAGUCUCAAGAACAUUAACUCCAUUAAUUGUGCUAGAUUAAAACAUACCUGUAAAAAAUAUUCACCAUUCAGAACUGCUGACAUGUUAGUUUAUUAGAUAAGCCUGCAAACUUUUAGCUACAUAUUGUAUGCUCAUUCUCCUCACUAUUUCUAAGAAACAUUUAUUUCAUAAACAAAUUUACUAACUAGUAGACACAUUCUUAUAGUGAAAAGAAUAGUUAAAUCACUUCCUCUCUGCUACCAUUUGCUUCCAAAUUCCAAAAUAUUUUCUUCAGCAUAGAUAUUGUAGGUUGUAUUUUUAUUUAGUAGUGAAUCAUUUCCGACCUUAAAUAAUUAAAAAAGAAAAACAACAACAAAAAAAAAAACACAUGCACACAAAACAAGCAAACAAAAAAACCCAACCCACAACCAUAGUUAAACAAAACAGAUUCUGUGAUCUGGCACUCAUUAUCCUUCCAACCAUUGUAAUUCAAACAUCAUCCAUAUAAACAUAAAAAAAAAUCAACCAGUAUAUUAAUCAUCCAUCUGAAGCAAGCAAUUUGUCUUCCAUAUCUGUAAAUCUCAAAGCCAGGAUCUCUCCCCACUUUUGAUAAACCUUUCUGAAGUGGUCAGUAAAACCAAAGGUGUGUCGCCAGCACUUGACCUAAUUGAGUGGCUCCCCUCUGGCAAUCAGGAACACUCUCUUCUGCUGCUUUGAAAUGCCUCAAUUUAGAUGCAGGGGUUACUUCACGUGUUAGUGGAAUUCAUAGAACCAUAGAAUCACUCUCCACACAAUCCACAGGUUGGAAAAGACAUUAAAGACAAAUCCAACCAUGACCACCCCAUUCUACUCUAACAAACCUCUGCAAAAUCAUGUCUCUGAGCACCACAUCCAAAGAGUUUUUAAACACAUACAGGGAUGGUGACUCUACCACUUCCCUGGGGAGCCUAUUCCAAUGCUUAACAAGCCUUUCUGUAAAGAAGUUUUUCCUAAUAUCCAGCCUAAACUUAUCCUAGUGCAACUUAAGGCCAUUUCCCCUCAUCCUGUCACCUGUCAACAGUGAGAAGUGGCCAACCCUGCUCUCGCUGUAAACACCUUUCAGAUAUUGGAAGAGAGGAAUUAAGUCUCCCCUCAGCCUCCUCUUCCCCAGACUAAACAGCCCCAGUUCCUUCACUCGCUCCUCAUAGGGCACACAAGAAGAUUUAAAAAAAAAAAAUCAAUUUAGUUGAUUUUUUAUUCACACCAAUAAUUUCUUUUUCCCUCCUUUCAAUAUACAUUUUUAUAAAAUGUAAAGGCUAGAAUCUUCUGGUACUUCCCUGAAAAGGAAAAUUUCUAAUCUCAGAAGAAUGUUCCCAAGUAUUAUACCAUUCAUGGGACCCAAGUCUUUCCCUGAGAAUGGAGUCUAUCUGUAUUUUAUUUCGAGGUUUAAUUUUCAUUGUAGGCAGCUAGGCUAUGAUUUUUGCUUCCCCUCUUUUUGCUAUCUGUACAAUCAUGUGUAAAUUAGAAAUACUGCCGAUAUGUUAUUCUUCAAAUAAAUUAUUCCAAGCCAUUCCAUUUGUAUGGUUAUGUAGCCAGGAAAAUGCAUAAAUAAAAGUAAUGUAUUCCAUAAAGUCUAUAAAAUAUAUUGCUCUGACUCAGGGCUGCAGUUAUUUUUGGAUGCAAACAGAAAGACCUGUGUUUCACCCACACAUUGGUCAUGUUUCAUAAUGGCAAGCAAAAGCAUUAUAACACCACAACCCAAGCUCCAGGUGGGAGCCUUCCUCUGCCCUUACCUCCAACCAUAAGGCAUGUGUCCCCUGUGAUUCUCCUGCUGCAGGGGAUCCUGCAGCUCCCUGAGGUUGCCACCUGCUGUGGCUCAACAGGCUACAGACCAGAGUUUCCCACUGUCUCACUCCUUCAGCAUUUUUGCAAGAAGUAGCCUAAUCUUGAUCAUUUCUUGCCUAGAAUCCACUUGUGCCCUCACAUCUAAAUGCACCACACUGGCAAGACUCUGGGAAAGCAGAUUAUACGUUUAUUAGUGCAACACAAUUGAGGUUUCUGCUUCCUAGCCCUGUUUUUAAUCCAGCCCCAAAUCUUACUUCUCAAUCUAGAUCUCCCCAUCAUCUUCU